GAUUAUAGGUCAGUGGUUAGAGUGUUGGAUUCGUAAUUUGAAGGCUCAGGUUCAAAUCCUGUACUUUUAACU